rnacentral:rRNA from 1 species
UUGACCUCGGAUCAGGUAGGGAUACCCGCUGAACUUAAGCAUAUCAAUAAGCCGAG